CCUACGGGAGGCAGCAGUGGGGAAUAUUGCACAAUGGAGGGAACUCUGAUGCAGCGAUGCCGCGUGAGGGAAGAAGGUUUUCGGAUUGUAAACCUCUGUCGUCGGGAACGAUAAUGACGGUACCCGACAAGGAAGCUCCGGCUAACUACGUGCCAGCAGCCGCGGUAAU
rnacentral:rRNA from 1 species